AUACUAACCUAGACGGGGGAAAUGAGUGAUCAACAAGGCCAUUGGCCUAGGUUGGUGACCUCCAUUGCACUUCGAGGGGUGCUCUCCUAAUUUCCUUUUUUUUUUGGUUGCAGAAGAACUAAAGAACAAAAUAGUUUUCUUUUAUGAAUUGUUGCAUAGGUGCAAAA
rnacentral:snRNA from 10 species